UACGGGGGGGGCAAGCGUUGUUCGGAAUUACUGGGCGUAAAGGGCUCGUAGGUGGCCAACUAAGUCAGAUGUGAAAUCCCCAGGCUUAACCUGGGAACUGCGUCUGAUACUGGAUGGCUUGAAUUCGGGAGAGGGAUGCAGAAUUCCAGGUGUAGCGGUGAAAUGCGUAGAUAUCUGGAGGAAUACCGGUGGCGAAGGCGGCAUCCUGGACCGAGAUUGACACUGAUGAGCGAAAGCUAGGGGAGCAAACGGG
rnacentral:rRNA from 1 species